rnacentral:rRNA from 1 species
AUACGGAGGAUGCGAGCGUUAUCCGGAUUCAUUGGGUAUAAAGGGUGCGUAGGCGGCCCCCCAAGUCAGCGGUGAAAUGUACCGGCUCAACCGGUGAGCUGCCGUUGAUACUGUCGUGCUUGAGUGCGAGCGGCGCCGGCGGAAUGGGUGAUGUAGCGGUGAAAUGCAUAGAUAUCACACAGAACACCGAUAGCGAAGGCAGCUGGCCGGGCCUGCAUUGACGCUGAGGCACGAAAGCGUGGGGAUCGAACAGGAUUAGAUAUCCUGGUAGUCCACGCUGUAAACGAUGGACACUCGUUGUCAGCGACAGACGGUCGGCGGCCAAGCGAAAGUGAUAAGUGUCCCACCUGGGGAGUACGGUCGCAAGGCUGAAACUCAAAUGAAUUGACGGGG